rnacentral:lncRNA from 1 species
GCCGUUCCAAGAUGCUGUCAAAAUUAAAUCAAUAUGGCUACCGGAAGGCAAACAUUGAAUAUUAUUCUAUCAGGUUCUUAUGGUUUUAGAUCAUUUUAGUUGUUGUACAAAGAUUAAUUUAACAUUUUCUCUGGAAGUAUUAAUUUAGAAAGAUAAUAUGCCUCAUUGGUGUUGUGUUUUGAAGUGUGAAAUGCAAAGUAAUCGUGAUAAAGUUAGCUUUUACCACUUACCAUCAGUGCUACAUUCUAAGCACAAAACUGAACCAAUUUAACUAAAUAAGUUAUAGUUAUCAUCUGAGAGACAACAACAAUGGUAAAAUGCAAUAAAAUAUAAAGAUUUUACUAGCAAAAUGGAAAUUCCCCUGUAAUCAUCUUAUAUCUGGAAAACCAGCCGACUUAACUGAUAAUAACAAUCCAGAUUGGGUUCCUUCAAUAAAUAUGGGGUAUAUAAACACAAUGAAAUGAGUUCCCCAAAAUCUAAAAUGGGAAUUAAGGUACCAAAGGAGAAUUAAAAGAAAAGGGUACCUACAAGAAAAAA